GAUGAACGCUGGCGGCGUGCCUAACACAUGCAAGUCGAGCGUGAUUGCCAUGAGUGGAGACUUCGGUCGAAGCGAGUGUCAUGAAAGCGGCGGACGGGUGAGUAACGCGUGGGCAACCUGCCCCAUACACGGGAAUAGCCACUGGAAACGGUGAUUAAUGCCCGAUAAGACCACACUGCCACAUGGCAGAGCGGCCAAAGAUUUAUCGGUAUGGGAUGGGCCCGCGUCUGAUUAGCUAGUUGGUGAGGUAACGGCUCACCAAGGCGACGAUCAGUAACCGACCUGAGAGGGCGGACGGUCACACUGGAACUGAGACACGGUCCAGACUCCUACGGGUGGCUG
rnacentral:rRNA from 1 species